CUCGUCUGAGGGGACGCGAGUACCGUCUUCGUCGCGGUUUCGGCCAGCGCGUAGGGCCAGGCCUUGACAAGCAGCGGGAGGAGAGCCUGAGCCGGACCUGGAUCCCUGUGAUUGCCGCCUGCUCCUCCCACCUCUGGUCUCACGAGGGGUUUCCCGCCUCGCGCCCCCCCACCUCUGGACUUGCGCUUCUUUUCUCUCCGCGUGUGGAGGGAGUCAGUGCUUAGGCCGGAGCGAGCCUGGGGGCCGCCGGCCGUGAAGGCAUCGGGGAACCGAUUCACCAUG
rnacentral:other from 1 species